GAUGAACGCUGGCGGCGUGCUUAACACAUGCAAGUCGAACGGUGAACACGGAGCUUGCUCUGUGGGAUCAGUGGCGAACGGGUGAGUAACACGUGAGCAACCUGCCCCUGACUCUGGGAUAAGCGCUGGAAACGGCGUCUAAUACUGGAUACGAGUAGCGGCCGCAUGGUCAGUUACUGGAAAGAUUUUUUGGUUGGGGAUGGGCUCGCGGCCUAUCAGCUUGUUGGUGAGGUAAUGGCUCACCAAGGAGUCGACGGGUAGCCGGCCUGAGAGGGUGAGCGGCAAGACUGGGACUGAGACGCGGCCCAGAGUCCUACGGGAGGCAGCAGUGGGGAAUAUUGCACAAUGGGCGAAAGCCUGAUGCAGCAAAGCCGCGUGAGGGAUGACGGCCUUCGGGUUGUAAACCUCUUUUAGCAGGGAAGAAGCGAAAGUGACGGUACCUGCAGAAAAAGCGCCGGCUAACUUCGUGCCAGCCGCCGCCGUAA
rnacentral:rRNA from 1 species